CUGGCAUGGAUCAAGAGAAAAGAAAAUACAAGAAAACAGACAGAAGGCAAGGUACUUCUAUGGAAGGGUGAGCCCUCACAGAUGGAGCAAUGGGGCGCGCACACCUGAACAAGGGAGGGGAAGGAGUUCUUAUCCCUGAUGCAUGUGACCCCUGCUGCUGUGUCCUUCCCCUAUUGGCUAAGGUUAGACCACACAGCCUAAACUAAUUCCGAUUGGCUAAUUCAAAGAGAGCGACGGGGGCUUCUGACAGCUUUGGAGAUUGUGACAUUGGAAUAAAGGAAAAACGUACAGGACUCAUGAAGCGCUGAAAUGUUCACAAAUAUCAAGCAAAAGUCAAUGAAAUUUAUUUUGAGCUAUUUACAUCAUUUAAUAAUUGAGCAAGGUAUACUCCUAUGAACAAAAUUUGGAGCAUGUUUGUCUCUCUCUGCCUGGCGUCUUCAGAAUUUGGAAACUAGUUAUGGUUUAUAAUCAGCUAUAGAAUUUUAACACGUGCUCUCAAAUGCAAGUUUCUGAUAACUUUGGAGAUUGUGACAUUGGAAUAAAGGAAGAGCUGGAAUGUUCAUGAAUAUCAAGCAAAAGUCAUGGAAAUUUAUUUUGAGCUAUUUACAGCAUUUAAUAAUUGAGCAAGGUAUACUCCUAUGAACAAAAUUUGGAGCAUGUUUGUCUCUCUCUGUCUGCCUGGCAUCUACAGAAUUUGGAAACUAGUUUCGUUCCCAGAUUUCCUAAACUUUCCAGAGAAAAUGGUCUUCUCCCUGGCUCAGCAAGAAGAUGAACUUUAAACACUGAGAAACUGGUCAUCUCCCUGGCUCAACCAGAAGAUGAACUUUAAACACUACUCUCAAUGACUUGAUGUUCCCAUCACUACUCCUGUCAUAAAGGGAGGGGACUCAGAUAUUGAGAAUUUUAUGAUAGUGUGAACUGUCUGGUAUGUCAUUUAAGUAAGCCCGUUGCUGAAAUAUUUUCCAUGUUAUUAGAAAGAGCUGAAGAGAGGGAUUGAGAUGGCUUCUUUAUUUUUUGUCUUUUGGGAAUUAAAGGAACCUGGUUCAACAAGGGCCUACACCUAAGUCUCUUGUUGUACCAGAGUACAAUUUAGGACUGCUCCUGAGGAAGGAAUUAGCUAGAAAUCUAGAGAGUAAGGGUAACAGAUUUACAUAGAAUAACAGCCUCAGUAUUUUUGGUUCCUCUCCAGUAAAGAUCACAAAGAAUAUUGCUAAAUCGCUAAAACACCUUUGCAAUAACGUAAGGGCUUACAACUAUAUACCAAUGUAGCUCAGUUACUAAACUGGAGUAAACUAAUUUCUCUUGUGUAGAAAAAUUGGUUGGCUGUGGUUUUAUAGCAGAUCUGCAAUUAUUAAUAGUUAUGCCAAUAAUCGUUUAACAGUGCAUAUGUUAAUAUAUAUGGAAAGACAAUGUGUAUAGACAGAUGUGUAAAAUUGAAAAAUAAACAUAUAACAAGAGAGAAACAUCUAUCGAACAGACAAUAUACAUACACAUCAAACACAACAGCAGUUUUAGUGACCAUAAUAUUUAUUUCUCAUUUUUACAUUGCUUACUUUAGUGACAACUGAAAAUGACAGUUGGCAAUGCAGCUAACAGUUUCAAUAAAAGUAUAAAACAAAA
rnacentral:lncRNA from 1 species